rfam:Camelus ferus unplaced genomic scaffold scaffold794, whole genome shotgun sequence.
GAAGGUAUAGCUCAGUGGUGGAGCCUGUGUUUAGCAUGCACGAGGUCCUGGGUUCAAUCCCCAGGACCUUCA